AGCACCUGCAUUUCCUUUUCCUAGAUGGAAAUCUGCAAAGCUUGCUUUCGACCAGUUCAGGAGACCAGUUAUGGGCCUACUGUGCUACUCCUGUACACAUGUGCCAAUAGCCAAUAGAGGGAGGGAGGGAGAUAAGUAGUUGACAAUAGCCAAUAGAGAUAUAACAAGGCAAGGCUCAUGGAUGGUAGUCUAGUAGAGUGUGCUUGUAUAGUGCGCUUGUAUUCCCCUACAGAUGGAAAGAACAAUUGCUUUCCUAACGGUUGACUUUUAGACUUCAUCUCAGGGACAAAAGCCAAAGGCCACGGAUAGCUACACGUUGUGCCAGAGGAGAUAUGUUUUAUAUAGAGAGAGGGACACCAAAUUAAUAAGUUGUUUACUUUGUACGGUUUGGUGAGCUGUGCUCUAAGAAUCUAUUUAUAUUUGUAUCAAAUAUCUAAUCUUUGAGGAAUCCUGAGAUAAUUUGGGUAAAAGAAAAACAUCUAAACAAUUUUUGUAGAGCUCUUGCAAAGUUUUUCAAUGUAAAAAUUAAUUGGCCUGUUGGAACUCAAAGUAUAGCAGGGACUAAACUAUAUUACUAUAUAAAAUAGCCAUAAUUUACUCCAAGUAAGUUGUACUUUGAUGACCAACUUGAUCAUUUUUUAAGAUGUCGCAAGUUCCCACCUGAAUUUCAUUAAAUCGCAGAUGCUAGACCGGUGAUAGUUUUACAAUCAUAUAUUUGACUGGAUGGGAAUCAAGAUCGAGUAACACUAGUGGUUCCAAAAGCGGUGGCAAUGAUGCCAGUAUCCAUGGUAGUCGGGUAGGGUUUUUUUUCACCUCAUCCCACUCUUGGUGCUCGAUCUCCGUUCUCUCCUUCACCCACAACCAAAAAUAAUUAAGCCAGCCAUUAGGCUAGCUGCACGGCCUUGCACAACUUACAAAACUACAAACUAAAAAUUUCAU
rnacentral:lncRNA from 1 species